AUACAUAUAACAUACCGAACAGUUAAAUCUUGCUUCAUUUAUAUUUGUCUAAAUUUUGGCAUUUCAAUUAGGCUUUGUAUGUACUCUGACAAAGACCAAAGACCUGAGAAGAUGCUAAAAUAAUCGCCAUGUUUGUGCAGGAAUAUCAGUGUGUCCGUCCACAUACUGGGAGCGGCAGAGUGACACAACCUACUCAGACAUCACAAAUCAGCACAAUGAACACUGCACAGGUGUGAUGGAGAGGAGAAGAACUAGGCUGAUGGAAAAAGUAGCGAAGGAGGAACGUAAUUUUAGAGGCUAAUGAUCUUUGCCUUUACAAAUGGGCAGGAGAGAGAGCGUCGAGUGAAACUGGAUACACCUAGAAUCACCCUUGAAAGGAUGUGCUGUGCUCCAGAAGCACAAAUCUGACCAGUUGCCCCCGCCUGCUGACAACCUGCAUGGGUUUCCUUAGUAACCAGUGACCCCACUAAUGAUCCUUAUCAGCGGUUGCCACGGAUACCAUUAGCCCCCACAGCCAACUGUCCUUCAAAGCACAUAUUAGAGGUGAAACACGGUUUGUUGGGGAUCUUUGUCAGAGGAGGAGAAACAAAGACGACAACAAGGAGUGGGAUCAGCAGAGUCAUUAAGUCAUGACAAACGUCUGGAAAGCUGCAUGCUGCUCUGAGCCCUUUCCUCUGUUUAGAAAGAAAAACUCCUGUCCUUGGUAAUGAGAGGGCUAAUUCAUCAUGUGUCAGUGAACUGGUUCCUCACCACAAGGUGCAGGCAGGUUCAUCUCCUUGUCUGCCCCGGUGGAGUAUGCUGAUAUGACAGUUUGCUCAUCUUUCAACUUUUAACCUAUUUAAAACAACAAAACAGGGACUGAAAUGAAUUAAUCUGGGUUCUUAAUUGAACGCAAUGAGACGCCACCCAAAAGCCUGGAAGAAAGAACUAAAUGUGAAGGCUGUUGCAUCAAAUGCAGAAAAAACUAAAUAUUGACAGGGAAAGGAAAAACAGUUUCAGUAACUACGGUAUAUCUAUUGUGUGAAGGUAUAGAACUAUGUUUUCAAAUGUACAGUUAUCUGAAACUUUCAUUUGAAUCUGUUCAUUUUAAUGAAAAUGUUAAAAUAACAUUUUAAUGAACAUUUAUGUGCUUUCAAAUCGAUUAAUCACAAUUAAUCAUACCUAACAUAAG